CCUACGGGGGGCAGCAGUGGGGAAUAUUGCGCAAUGGGCGAAAGCCUGACGCAGCGACGCCGCGUGAGGGAUGAAGGUCUUCGGAUCGUAAACCUCUGUCAGCAGGGAAGAACGGUCACUGUGCUAAUCAGCAGUGCAUUGACGGUACCUGCAAAGGAAGCACCGGCUAACUCCGUGCCAGCAGCCGCGGUAAUACGGAGGGUGCGAGCGUUAAUCGGUAUUACUGGGCGGAAAGCGCUCGUAGGCGGUAUGUCAAGUCAAGGGUGAAAUCCCCGGGCUCAACGUGGGAACUGCCUUUGAAACUGGCAAACUGGAGUGUGUGAGAGGAUAGUGGAAUUCCAGGUGUAGGAGUGAAAUCCGUAGAUAUCUGGAGGAACAUCAGUGGCGAAGGCGACUAUCUGGCACAUAACUGACGCUGAGGAGCGAAAGCGUGGGUAGCAAACAGGAUUAGAUACCCUUGUAGUC
rnacentral:rRNA from 1 species